rnacentral:rRNA from 1 species
CAGUCGCCGCGGGAAUACGUAGGUCCCGAGCGUUGUCCGGAUUUAUUGGGCGUAAAGCGAGCGCAGGCGGUUAGAUAAGUCUGAAGUUAAAGGCUGUGGCUUAACCAUAGUACGCUUUGGAAACUGUUUAACUUGAGUGCAAGAGGGGAGAGUGGAAUUCCAUGUGUAGCGGUGAAAUGCGUAGAUAUAUGGAGGAACACCGGUGGCGAAAGCGGCUCUCUGGCUUGUAACUGACGCUGAGGCUCGAAAGCGUGGGGAGCAAACAGGAUUAGAGACCCCCGUAGUCCCUGUCUCUUAUACC